GGGGCUAUAGCUUAGUUGGUAGAGUGUUUGCCUCAUAUACAUAAUGCCCUGGGUUCAAUCCCCAGCACCA
rnacentral:tRNA from 1 species